rnacentral:piRNA from 1 species
UGUGACGAGCUGCUGUUCCAAAGGAUGCCUU